rnacentral:tRNA from 1 species
AUUUAAAUAGUUUAAUAAAAAAUAUUGAUUUGUGGUGUCAAAGAUAUACAAAAUAUUUUAAAUA